rnacentral:sRNA from 1 species
CAACCGCUGGCAUCGUUGGCCUGGAUACAAAGAUAGUUAAACUACAAAGAGGGGGAGGGCUCAGCUCCUCCUUGACCCUCGAACAUAUAUCCUGUCCGUAGAAACAACCCAGUUAAGCUCUUGUAGGUUUACACAUUUCUUCUCUUUGUUUGCCCCUUAUUCUCCAGUUUUAUUUUAUUUGAUAUUUUUUAUGUUUAUUUUACAUCACCCUUUGUUGUAAAUGUUGUUUGAAAUCCGAACAUUGCAUGUAAAAAUAGCAACAUUUCUGCCUGAACCGUGGAUGAAAGGAGUUUUGGAAAAUCCCUCAA